CCCUGUAGCUCAGUUGGUAGAGCAUUGUGUUUGCAAUGCCAGGGUUGUGGGUUCGAUUCCCAUAGGGG
rnacentral:tRNA from 1 species